rnacentral:rRNA from 1 species
GAUGAACGCUAGCGACAGGCUUAACACAUGCAAGUCGAGGGGCAUCGGGGUGUAGCAAUACACUGCCGGCGACCGGCGCACGGGUGAGUAACGCGUAUGCAACUUGCCGAUCAGAGGGGGAUAACCCGGCGAAAGUCGGACUAAUACCGCAUAAAACAGGGGUUCCGCAUGGAAAUAUUUGUUAAAGAUUCAUCGCUGAUCGAUAGGCAUGCGUUCCAUUAGGCAGUUGGCGGGGUAACGGCCCACCAAACCGACGAUGGAUAGGGGUUCUGAGAGGAAGGUCACCCACAUUGGUACUGAGACACGGACCAAACUCCUACGGGAGGCAGCAGUGAGGAAUAUUGGUCAAUGGGCGAGAGCCUGAACCAGCCAAGUCGCGUGAAGGAAGGAGGAUCUAUGGUUUGUAAACUUCUUUUAUAGGGGAAUAAAGUGUGGGACGUGUCCCGUUUUGUAUGUACCCUAUGAAUAAGCAUCGGCUAACUCCGUGCCAGCAGCCGCUGUAA